GAUGAACGCUGGCGGCGUGCCUAAUACAUGCAAGUCGAGCGAACGGACGAGAAGCUUGCUUCUCUGAUGUUAGCGGCGGACGGGUGAAUAACACGUGGAUAACCUACCUAUAAGACUGGGAUAACUUCGGGAAACCGGAGCUAAUACCGGAUAAUAUUUUGAACCGCAUGGUUCAAUAGUGAAAGACGGUCUUGCUGUCACUUAUAGAUGGAUCCGCGCUGCAUUAGCUAGUUGGUAAGGUAACGGCUUACCAAGGCAACGAUGCAUAGCCGACCUGAGAGGGUGAUCGGCCACACUGGAACUGAGACACGGUCCAGACUCCUACGGGAGGCAGCAGUAGGGAAUCUUCCGCAAUGGGCGAAAGCCUGACGGAGCAACGCCGCGUGAGUGAUGAAGGUCUUCGGAUCGUAAAACUCUGUUAUUAGGGAAGAACAAAUGUGUAAGUAACUGUGCACAUCUUGACGGUACCUAAUCAGAAAGCCACGGCUAACUACGUG
rnacentral:rRNA from 1 species